AGAGUUUGAUCCUGGCUCAGGAUGAACGCUAGCUACAGGCUUAACACAUGCAAGUCGAGGGGCAUCGCGGUGCAGCAAUGCACUGGCGGCGACCGGCGCACGGGUGAGUAACGCGUAUCCGACCUGGCCUUCACUCGGGUAUAGCCCCUCGAAAGAGGGAUUAAUCCCCGAUAUGUGGGAGAGUUACAUGGCGCUCCCACGAAAGCGUAACGGUGAAGGAUGGGGAUGCGUCCCAUUAGGUUGUUGGCGGGGUAACGGCCCACCAAGCCGACGAUGGGUAGGGGUACUGAGAGGUAGGUCCCCCACAUUGGAACUGAGACACGGUCCAAACUCCUACGGGAGGCAGCAGUGAGGAAUAUUGGUCAAUGGGCGAGAGCCUGAACCAGCCAAGUAGCGUGAAGGAAGACUGCCCUAUGGGUUGUAAACUUCUUUUGUGCGGGGGUAAAGUGGUCCACGCGUGGUCCAUUGCAAGUACCGUACGAAUAAGCAUCGGCUAACUCCGUGCCAGCAGCCGCGGUAAUACGGAGGAUGCGAGCGUUAUCCGGAUUUAUUGGGUUUAAAGGGAGCGUAGGCGGGCGAUUAAGUCAGCGGUUAAAUAGUGUGGCUCAACCAUGCCUUGCCGUUGAUACUGGUUGUCUUGAGAGUACUAGAGGUGGAUGGAAUUUAGGGUGUAGCGGUGAAAUGCUUAGAUAUCCUAAAGAACUCCGAUUGCGAAGGCAGUCCACUGGGGUACGUCUGACGCUGAAGCUCGAAAGUGCGGGUAUCAAACAGGAUUAGAUACCCUGGUAGUCCGCACAGUAAACGAUGAUUACUCGCUGUUGGCGACAGACAGGCCACCGGCCAAGCGAAAGCAAUAAGUAAUCCCCCCGGGGAGUACGCCGGCAACGGUGAAACUCAAAGGAAUUGACGGGGGCCCGCACAAGCGGAGGAACAUGUGGUUUAAUUCGAUGAUACGCGAGGAACCUUACCCGGGCUUGAACUUGGCAGGAAAGAUCCAGAGAUGGUGAUGUCCUUCGGGACCUGUCGAGAGGUGCUGCAUGGUUGUCGUCAGCUCGUGCCGUGAGGUGUCGGCUUAAGUGCCAUAACGAGCGCAACCCUUGCCGUCAGUUGCCAUCAGUAAAAGCUGGGCACUCUGUCGGGACUGCCAUCGUAAGAUGUGAGGAAGGUGGGGAUGACGUCAAAUCAGCACGGCCCUUACGUCCGGGGCGACACACGUGUUACAAUGGUGACUACAGAGGGAUGCCACCCGGCGACGGGGAGCGGAUCUCGAAAAGUCAUCUCUGUUCGGAUUGGAGUCUGCAACUCGACUCCAUGAAGCUGGAUUCGCUAGUAAUCGCGCAUCAGCCAUGGCGCGGUGAAUAAGUUCCCUGGGCCUUGUACACACCGCCCGUCA
rnacentral:rRNA from 1 species